rnacentral:lncRNA from 1 species
UUUUUGGGGGUUUCGUAUUGUUUAUUCUUUAGUUUUCUAUGUUGUGUCAUGUGUGCUGUUUUUUUUUUUGUGGUUUUCAUUUUUAGCCAUGGCGUUGUCAGUUUGUUUUAGAUUUAUGAGUUUGACUGUCCCUUUGGUAUCUUUCGUCCCUCUUCUAUCAGUCGAUAGUAAAACCAUACUUUAGGGCCCUCCAUUUAGAAAAGGUAUAUAUAUAAUGUUCAAAUUGGUCAGUUAAAUCCAAUUCAUCAAGUUGGAAGAAUGGCAGGUUUUCUGCAUGCAAACGAAUAAUUGCAAGAACUCUUUGAGUAGUCCGUAGUUGGUAUGUUUUCCCCAUGGUGGUCUUAAUAUCUGUCACAUGAAAUCGAGUCGACUUCACUUUGGUUCCCCGUCAUUUUGGAAUUAUUGCAAAGGUUUUGUUCAGAAUAAGCAUAAACUAUGUUGAUUUUGCAUUUAGCAAAGAACACAACAAUCAAUCAACCUUUAAGUAUGAUAUAUGUUUUUUCUCGUUUCUCUUCUGUGGUAGUAUCUUGUGCUUAUUGCUGUCAAACUGUUAAGAUUCACAAUACUUGGUUUAAAGAGUCAUAUUAACUUAGAUAUAUUUUUAUAACAAUUAUAUCGUCUUUAGCUUUUUCUCUUCGCUAUAGUUUUAUAUCAUAUAGAGAUUUUGACUCUUUAUUUGAUUUUUAUUUAGAUAUUUUAGAACUUUUUCUCAAGUUUAACUAUGACCUUAACGUAAACCCUAUUAUACUGCCAUGCACCGGUUGAAUUGUUAUCAAACGUUGAAUGAAUUUCUAGUUAAUUUGAAAUUUGACAUCAUUUCCC